GGCCGUGUAGCACAUCGGUAUAGUGCAAUCGCCUUAUAAGCGAUAGAACGCAGUUCAACUCUGCGCGGGGCUA
rnacentral:tRNA from 1 species